AAUCAUUCCAUGCUUUCCUCAAUAUUUUUUUCAUUCAGUUCAAAGCUAUGGCAAUGACCUUAAAAGUGUUAGAAGAGAAAUAAUUGGUAUUGUUUCAUAAUUUGUCGUUUACCACCUCAUUGUCAAUAAUUCUUGGUUAUGAUAUUAUUAGCCUAUCAUUUACCAUUUUCUUAAUUUGUGAAGGCAAAACCUGGAAAGGAAUCCCAGGCAAAGGGUUGACCCUGUACUAUAGAAUGAUUAACUGUUUUUCAUCCCACUAGUCAGGAUUAUAGAAAUAUGACUACGCAUCACUCGAGACAAAGGUGCACGCUAUCUUACUUUGAUUCCACAUGUGAUUCUAAUAUAGGAUUCUGGAGUAUUGCCCAACAGAUUUAUAUCCGGGGCCCAAACGCCCCUCACUAUAGAAUGAUCUUGGGAUACUCUGAUAGUUUUAAGGGAACUGACAAUCGAGUCUAUAGUUGCAAAUAUUUUGUCUCGUAGAGACAGCUGACGUUAGCAGCUUGUUUUGCUUUAUGAACAGGUGUUCCACUUGGGCUCUGUAUAUCGCACUGGCCAUGCGGAUGCAGUGUACAAAUGGAAAAAACCCUGCAGACCCUGAGAAGAAUAAAAGCGGGAGAGAGUCUGUGGUGGGUGAGAGAGGAGAAGUGCACCUUGAAGCAGGGGACGCCCUGCUGGCACUACCUAUCGCACCCACUGCUGCCGUGUUUCUUCUCUCUCCUUUCUGGUGGUUUGCCACCUUUCAAGGCACCUGUUCCGAUAAAGUACAGCUGUGGAGCGUGACUGCCAGGAUUUUUGCCUCAUUCCUAACCCCGGGAGUUGCUGCCGCCCAAGCCUUGAAACAGAUUGAACGUCUAGCGUGCUGGACUGUUAAACAGAGCAAUCAUACUUCAGAGAUCCUCGAAGAAAUGUUAGAAGAUAUGAACAGCCUUCGUCAUGCUGUGCUCCAGAAUCGAGCCGCAAUAGACUUUCUUUUACUUGCUCAAGGGCAUGGCUGUAAAGAGUUUGAUGGAAUGUGUUGUUUUAAUCUUUCUGAUCAUAGCAAAUCAAUUCAAAAACAAAUUCAUUGGUUGCUUAAUCACACUCGAUCCAUUACUGAGGAUCAUAAUCCUAUUGAUGAUUGGUUGCAUUCUGUGUUUCCAGGUCUUGCUCCUUGGAUAUAUGAUAUCAUUAAGGAAAGGUUUCAAAUGGGUUUUAAUCAUUAUUCUACUUGUGAUAGUUGCUAGAAUAUUGUAUAGUUGUCUGCUGCGUGCUACCGCGCCAAAAGCUGCGCUUGUUGUGACUGACAACAAGGAUUCGGACAUCAUUCGUGAUUGGCUACAAAAUCAAGGGGGGCACAAUCCUAAGGAUUGUUUUGCCUUACAACCCUAAAAGAAAAAGGGGGGAAUUGUUGGGAAACAGCUUGCUUGGCAGCGCUUGGCAGCACGUAG
rnacentral:lncRNA from 1 species